rnacentral:rRNA from 1 species
UUGAACGCUGGCGGCAUGCUUUACACAUGCAAGUCGCACGGCAGCGCGGGCUUCGGCCUGGCGGCGAGUGGCGAACGGGUGAGUAAUACAUCGGAACGUGCCCAGUAGCGGGGGAUAGCUCGGCGAAAGCCGGAUUAAUACCGCAUACGACCUGAGGGUGAAAGCGGGGGAUCUUCGGACCUCGCGCUAUUGGAGCGGCCGAUGGCAGAUUAGCUAGUUGGUGGGGUAAAGGCCUACCAAGGCGACGAUCUGUAGCUGGUCUGAGAGGACGACCAGCCACACUGGGACUGAGACACGGCCCAGACUCCUACGGGAGGCAGCAGUGGGGAAUUUUGGACAAUGGGCGAAAGCCUGAUCCAGCAAUGCCGCGUGUGUGAUGAAGGCCUUCGGGUUGUAAAGCACUUUUGGCGGGAACGAAAAGGACUGUGCCAAUACCACGGUUCGAUGACGGUACCCGCAGAAUAAGCACCGGCUAACUACGUG